AGAAACUUAGGAUUAACCAUCGCCCAAACCAAAGGCCUUCAAAGCCUUAAAUAAGAGUUAGACUCUCUUAGUUUCUG
rnacentral:tRNA from 1 species